GAUGAACGCUGGCGGCGUGCCUAAUACAUGCAAGUCGAGCGAACAGACGAGGAGCUUGCUCCUCUGACGUUAGCGGCGGACGGGUGAGUAACACGUGGAUAACCUACCUAUAAGACUGGGAUAACUUCGGGAAACCGGAGCUAAUACCGGAUAAUAUAUUGAACCGCAUGGUUCAAUAGUGAAAGACGGUUUUGCUGUCACUUAUAGAUGGAUCCGCGCCGCAUUAGCUAGUUGGUAAGGUAACGGCUUACCAAGGCGACGAUGCGUAGCCGACCUGAGAGGGUGAGCGACCACACUGGAACUGAGACACGGUCCAGACUCCUACGGGAGGCAGCAGUAGGGAAUCUUCCGCAAUGGGCGAAAGCCUGACGGAGCAACGCCGCGUGAGUGAUGAAGGUCUUCGGAUCGUAAAACUCUGUUAUUAGGGAAGAACAAAUGUGUAAGUAACUAUGCACGUCUUGACGGUACCUAAUCAGAAAGCCACGGCUAACUACGUG
rnacentral:rRNA from 1 species